AGUUAGUUUCAUGGUUAGUUUCCGUGUUUAACUUUGAUUAUAUUUAAAUUUUUUUAUGAUUACUAUUUUUAUUAAAAUUAAAUGAUAAAACAUGAACAAUAUUUUAUGCGUGACUUAGUUUUUUAAUUUAAUUUUUUUUAAAUAAUACGGAUGAUCAAAGUUGGACACAGAAAUUUAUAGCCGCGCUUGAA
rnacentral:pre_miRNA from 1 species